AGUCGGGUACGCAAAUUGGCAAAGCGGCCAGGUCGAGAGCCUGGCGUCUGCGGGUUCGACUCCCGCUCCGACUACUA
rnacentral:tRNA from 1 species